UUUUAGGAUUUGGUUUAGGGUUUAAGAUUUGGUAAAGAUUUGAUUUAGAAUUUAGAGUUUAGUUAGGGUUUCAUUUAGGGUUUAAGGCUUGGUUAGGAUUUGGUUUAGGAUUAAAGGUUUGGAUUAGAUUUUGGUUGGGAUUUGGUUUAAUGUUUGUUUUGGAUUUGGUUUAGGAUUAAGGAUUUAAUUAAGAUUUGGUUUAGAGUUUGGAUAGAAUUUGGUUUAGGAUUUGGUUUAGGAUUUGCUUAGGAUUUGUUUAGGAUUUAAGAUUUAAUUAGUUUUGGUCUAAAGUUUGAAUGAAGUGUAAUAGGAUUUUAACUAGAAUUAAAUUAAAAUUGAAUUAAAAUAUAUUUGAGAGAUAUUUGUUAUUAUUUUAAUAUUUCUUUAAGGUUUCUUAAUAUUUCUUUGAAAUUUCUUUGAAAGUUUUUUUGAAUUUGAUUAAAGCUUGCUUAGUAUUA
rnacentral:lncRNA from 1 species